AUUGAACGCUGGCGGCAGGCCUAACACAUGCAAGUCGAGCGGCAGCGGGAAAGUAGCUUGCUACCUUUGCCGGCGAGCGGCGGACGGGUGAGUAAUGCCUGGGAAAUUGCCCAGUCGAGGGGGAUAACAGUUGGAAACGACUGCUAAUACCGCAUACGCCCUACGGGGGAAAGCAGGGGACCUUCGGGCCUUGCGCGAUUGGAUAUGCCCGGGUGGGAUUAGCUAGUUGGUGAGGUAAUGGCUCACCAAGGCGACGAUCCCUAGCUGGUCUGAGAGGAUGAUCAGCCACACUGGAACUGAGACACGGUCCAGACUCCUACGGGAGGCAGCAGUGGGGAAUAUUGCACAAUGGGGGAAACCCUGAUGCAGCCAUGCCGCGUGUGUGAAGAAGGCCUUCGGGUUGUAAAGCACUUUCAGCGAGGAGGAAAGGUUGAUGCCUAAUACGUAUCAACUGUGACGUUACUCGCAGAAGAAGCACCGGCUAACUCCGUGCCAGCCGCCGCGGUAAUAC
rnacentral:rRNA from 1 species